AUGUCGGAUCAAUUGGAGUUGAUUGAGUGGAUAAAUGAAGAAAAUAAAAGACGGAAGAGGAAAAGAAUUGUUUUGACUAAAUUGUUUGUUGAAACAUGUGCUCUUACAUUAGCAUUUGUUACUACACAAAGGGAUAGGGGACCAAGGGACCUGGGAAGUUAUAAUGAUGAUGAGGACAAGCAUAGGCUUAGGAAAUAUUUUCUUAAAACCAUGUAUGAUGGAUCUGAAGUGGCAUGCUAUGAUCAAUUGCGUCUAACAAAACGAAACUUUCAUGACCUUUGCACCAUGUUACGGGAGAGAUGUGGCCUCCGUGAUAGUGUAUAUGUGACCGUGGAAGAGAAAGUUGCAAUGUUCUUACUUGUAGUUGGCCAUAGUAUCAAGAUGAGGAUGUUGCGUGGCACCUACAAGCGUUCUUUAUGGACCAUUAGUACACACUUCUCUGCUGUCCUAACAGACCUACUCUCUCUAUAUGGGGAGUUCAUUAAGCUACCUUCUACCGCUCAAGCUCCCGAUGAUUACAAAUGA
rnacentral:rRNA from 1 species